rnacentral:rRNA from 1 species
CAGGCCUAACACAUGCAAGUCGAGCGGACUUAUCCUUCGGGAUAGGUUAGCGGCGGACGGGUGAGUAACACGUAGGCAACCUGCCUGUAUGAUCGGGAUAACUACCGGAAACGGUAGCUAAGACCGGAUAGCUGGUUUCUCCGCAUGGGGGAAUCAUGAAACACGGGGCAACCUGUGGCUUACGGAUGGGCCUGCGGCGCAUUAGCUAGUUGGUGGGGUAACGGCCCACCAAGGCGACGAUGCGUAGCCGACCUGAGAGGGUGAUCGGCCACACUGGGACUGAGACACGGCCCAGACUCCUACGGGAGGCAGCAGUAGGGAAUCUUCCGCAAUGGGCGCAAGCCUGACGGAGCAACGCCGCGUGAGUGAUGAAGGUUUUCGGAUCGUAAAGCUCUGUUGCCAAGGAAGAACGCCUCGGAGAGUAACUGCUCUGAGGGUGACGGUACUUGAGAAGAAAGCCCCGGCUAACUACGUGCCAGCAGCCGCGGUAAUACGUAGGGGGCAAGCGUUGUCCGGAAUUAUUGGGCGUAAAGCGCGCGCAGGCGGUCUUUUAAGUUUGGUGUUUAAGCCCGGGGCUCAACCCCGGUUCGCACUGAAAACUGGGAGACUUGAGUGCAGGAGAGGAAAGCGGAAUUCCACGUGUAGCGGUGAAAUGCGUAGAGAUGUGGAGGAACACCAGUGGCGAAGGCGGCUUUCUGGACUGUAACUGACGCUGAGGCGCGAAAGCGUGGGGAGCAAACAGGAUUAGAU